GGUUGAUCCUGCCAGUAGUCAUAUGCUUGUCCUAAAGAUUAAGCCAUGCAUGUGUACGUUCAAGCCCUUGUACGGUGAAACUGCGGAUGGCUCAUUAUAUCAGUGAUAAUUUGGUUGGUGGAGAAUACUGUGGAUAACCGUGGUAAUUCUAGAGCUAAUACAUGCAGAUCAGACGCAAGUCUGGCAUUUAUUAGAUAAAGCCUUGGCAAGGGAAUUCAUUCCCCUGCGCAGGUGAGUAAUGAUAACUGGGCGGAUCGCAGAAUACUGCGACGCACCAAGGAAAUUUCUGCC
rnacentral:rRNA from 1 species